CGGCGCCCCUGUGUCGAUGGUGAUGCUUAUACGGGCCAGUCAGAGAUGAGACUUUUGUUGUGGUAACCAGAUAAAAUCCUCAAGUUCUCAUGAAUCUCUCCUGAGAAGCCUACGAAAGAUGAACUCGGACCAUCAAGAUGAUUGGAGUGUCUCCUCCUCAGUAGGAAGGGACACGUGACCUUUCUCACAUACCAGCCACAUCAUAGUGGUUCAAGGCAUCUCCAAGACCUCCAGAGAAGGUGAAAAGUGGGGAAUCCACGUUCAGGAACCUGGGGUGCUCUGAGACCCACGAGGCAGAGCUGGUGACUGAGACCUGGCUUCAGCACUGCCACCGUGUCCCCAGGUCCCUCCCCAAGGAACGCCACACUCCAUUUGUCAAUUGUAAGUGAUACUUUCUAUUCAAUCUGAUACAUAUUAUAAGAAUAUAAACAAAUGCCUCUUCCCGUAUCAGUGCCAUAAUCACUUUCUUUUAUAGG